rnacentral:rRNA from 1 species
UUUUCUAAACAUACCAGUCGAGCGAUGAAGCCCUUCGGGGUGUUUUAGCGGCGGACGGGCNAGUAACACGUGGGUAACCUGCCUUAUAGAGGGGGAUAGCCUUCCGAAAGGAAGAUUAAUACCGCAUGAAAUGUUUUUAUCGCAUGGUAGAAACAUCAAAGGAGUAAUCCGCUAUAAGAUGGUACCCNCUNCGCAUUAGCUAGNUGGNGAGGUAACGGCCCACCAAGGCGACGAUGCGUAGCCGACCUGAGGAGGGUGAUCGGCCACAUUGGAACUGAGACACGGUCCAGACUCCUACGGGAGGCAGCAGUGGGGAAUAUUGCGCAAUGGGGGAAACCCUGACGCAGCAACGCCGCGUGAAUGAAGAAGGCCUUAGGGUUGUAAAGUUCUGUUUUCUGGGACGAUAAUGACGGUACCAGAGGAGGAAGCCCACGGCUAACUACGUGCCCAGCAGCCGGGGGU